GACGAACGCUGGCGGCGUGCUUAACACAUGCAAGUCGAACGGAAAGGCCUGCUUUCCCUUGUGGAUUGCGGGUACUCGAGUGGCGAACGGGUGAGUAACACGUGAGUGAUCUGCCCCCAACUUGGGUAUAAGCCUGGGAAACUGGGUCUAAUUCCCGAUAGGACUGCAGGGUGGUGCCUGUGGUGGAAAACGAUUUUCUAGUGGUUGGGGAUGAGCUCGCGGCCUAUCAGCUUGUUGGUGGGGUAAUGGCCUACCAAGGCGGCGACGGGUAGCCAGCCUGAGGGGGUGGACGGCCACAUUGGGACUGAGAUACGGCCCAGACUCCGACGGGAGGCAGAAGUGGGGAAUAUUGCACAAUGGGCGGAAGCCUGAGGCAGCGACGCCGCGUGGGGGAUGACGGCCUUCGGGUUGUAAACUCCUUUCGGCCGCGAGGAAGCCACCUGGUUGGAAGGGUGGUGACGGUAGUGGUAGAAGAAGCACCGGCUAACUACGUG
rnacentral:rRNA from 1 species